CCUACGGGUGGCAGCAGUGAGGAAUAUUGGUCAAUGGGCGCGAGCCUGAACCAGCCAAGUCGCGUGAGGGAUGAAGGUUCUAUGGAUCGUAAACCUCUUUUCUACGGGAAUAAAGUGUGGGACGUGUCCUAUUUUGUAUGUACCUUAUGAAUAAGGAUCGGCUAACUCCGUGCCAGCAGCCGCGGUAAUACGGAGGAUCCGAGCGUUAUCCGGAUUUAUUGGGUUUAAAGGGUGCGUAGGCGGCCUUUUAAGUCAGCGGUGAAAGUCUGUGGCUCAACCAUAGAAGUGCCGUUGAAACUGGUGGGCUUGAGUAAGUGUGAGGCAGGCGGAAUGCGUGGUGGAGCGGUGAAAUGCUUAGAUAUCACGCAGAACCCCGAUUGCGAAGGCAGCCUGCCGAGGCAUGACUGACGCUGAUGCACGAAAGCGUGGGGAUCAAACAGGAUUAGAUACCCGAGUAGUC
rnacentral:rRNA from 1 species